rnacentral:rRNA from 1 species
UACGGGGGGGGCAAGCGUUGUUCGGAAUUACUGGGCGUAAAGGGCUCGUAGGCGGCCAUGUAAGUCAGACGUGAAAGCCCUCGGCUUAACCGGGGAACUGCGUCUGAUACUGGAUGGCUUGAGUUCGGGAGAGGGAUGCGGAAUUCCAGGUGUAGCGGUGAAAUGCGUAGAUAUCUGGAGGAACACCGGUGGCGAAGGCGGCAUCCUGGACCGAUACUGACGCUGAGGAGCGAAAGCCAGGGGAGCAAACAGG